UGGUUGUCUCAACAAGAGCAAAACCUGAGGGAACACUGCUUUGCUUUAUAUUUGAAGAUUCUAGUUUGACUGGUCAAAGGAACAUGAGAUCAGUUGCCUAUGUGAUGUUUUCCACCCAUCAGGAAUGGGAGAAGCUGUCACGUGGUUGAUCUUUGGUACUCAGACCCUGCAGCCAAAUUGUUGGCUGAGCUUUUCAGCCCCUAUCCAGAUCUCGAGGGCCUGUGGAGACACAGUGCUGUUUCUCCCUGCCUCAAUCCUGCUGCUGUUGACCACUGUUUUGAGGAGUGGAAAGAAGUUUUCAGGAGGCAAGAGGGCAAGGACAAUUCUCCAGCAUCUUUUCUUUUGGUCUAAGAGGAGGAAGAGAGGAGGAAUGGAUACUGCUUAGCUACAUCAGGGCAAGGUGCAAAGGAGCUUCAGAGGCUCAGACCAUGUGGAGUCUGUUGUCAUCUCCACAUGAAAGUGAAAGUCUGCCAGGGGAGGACAAUGUUAUCUUCUGUAUGGAAAAUGCUUAUCUGAACAUGUAACCUAACCCAUUUCUCUGGCUGAACGUGAAGAACAACUCCUGAAGAAGUUUGAACUC